GCGUGCAAGACAGUUUUAAAACGUUGGCGGCGGAGGUAGUUCAAAAUAGUAACUCUGGGGUUUCUUUACUGAAACGUUUAUACGUUCAUCCUUCUCUACAAUGCAGAAUAAGGAAAAUGAUGAGCCCAGGGGUUUCACAAGACCGUUCGCAACCCCAAGCAUGGUGGCAGGCCCACAGCGCGUUCAGGUGAAACCACGAGCAGAGAUUGACAAAAAUGCCAUUACAGGCCCAGGGCGACAGUGUGUUGGCUCAUCCUCCAGUGCUGUCGCAAAG